rnacentral:rRNA from 1 species
UACGUAGGGCGCAAGCGUUAUCCGGAAUUAUUGGGCGUAAAGAGCUCGUAGGCGGUUUGUCGCGUCGGCUGUGAAAUCCCGAGGCUCAACCUCGGGUCUGCAGUCGAUACGGGCAAACUGGAGUGUUGCAGGGGAGACUGGAAUUCCUGGUGUAGCGGUGAAAUGCGCAGAUAUCAGGAGGAACACCGGUGGCGAAGGCGGUUCUCUGGGCCUUACCUGACGCUGAGGAGCGAAAGCGUGGGGAGCAAACAGGA